ACAACAUUUGGACCGUCGGUCUACCGAACAUUAUCACCCGCUCGGUGGAAGACCUUUCCUUUCGUCGU
rfam:Bombyx mori DNA, contig: Bm_scaf19_contig13718, strain: p50T/Dazao, build 2, whole genome shotgun sequence.